UACGGAGGAUGCAAGCGUUAUCCGGAUUUAUUGGGUUUAAAGGGUGCGUAGGCGGCACGCCAAGUCAGCGGUGAAAUUUCCGGGCUCAACCCGGAUUGUGCCGUUGAAACUGGCGAGCUAGAGUGCACAAGAGGCAGGCGGAAUGCGUGGUGUAGCGGUGAAAUGCAUAGAUAUCACGCAGAACCCCGAUUGCGAAGGCAGCCUGCUAGGGUGCGACAGACGCUGAGGCACGAAAGCGUGGGUAUCGAACAGG
rnacentral:rRNA from 1 species